rnacentral:rRNA from 1 species
GAUGAACGCUGGCGGCGUGCUUAACACAUGCCAGUCGAACGAGAAGUGAAGACGGAAACCUUCGGGCGGAAGGCUUUAUUUCGAGUGGCGGACGGGUGAGUAACGCGUGGGUAACCUGCCUCAUACAGGGGGAUAACAGUUGGAAACGACUGUUAAUACCGCAUAAGACCACAGCACCGCAUGGUGCGGGGGUAAAAACUCCGGUGGUAUGAGAUGGACCCGCGUUCGAUUAGCCAGUUGGCGGGGUAACGGCCCACCAAAGCGACGAUCGAUAGACGAUCUGAGAGGAUGACCGGCCACAUUUGGACUGAGACACGGCCCAAACUCCUACGGGAGGCAGCAGUGGGGAAUAUUGCACAAUGGGGGAAACCCUGAUGCAGCGACGCCGCGUGAGUGAAGAAGUAUUUCGGUAUGUAAAGCUCUAUCAGCAGGGAAGAAAAUGACGGUACCUGAGUAAGAAGCCCCGGCUAACUACGUG